UCGCCGCCCUCGUCCAGCGCGCUGCCUGCGUGUACCUUCCGCUGGCGCUGCCACCGCUCCCGCUCUCGCUGCUCCUUCAGCUGGAGGGGCGAGGAGGGCGGGGCACCCUGAGCCUCCCGCCGCCCACGCGCUCUCCACUCCCUCAGCCUUGCUCAGGCCCAGGCCCCAGCAGCACCCUCACCAUGGCCUCCAUGCGCGCCCGUCGUUCCUCCUCCUCCUUCCUUCUCCGCAUGGCCUCCAGGUCCUGCCGGGCCUCCGAGAAGGCCUGCAGGAAGGUGUCGAAGAUGCCGAAGAAUUCAUCCGGCUGCAUCUUGCUGUCCUGCUCCCCAAAGUGCAUCAGGGCCUUGGAGAACUGUUGAAGAGAAGGGUUGGUGGAGAGUCCCCCCCAAGCCUUGUGGGCAGUUGAAUUCCAGCCAGAGCAGAGCUCAUCCAGGUGGGGGGACUUGGGGGGGCAGGGCUAGAGAGGGGAGCCCCCCCCCCAACGUCAUCAGGGUAAGGACAAGGCUGAAGGAAGGAAAGGCUUGAGGCUGACACGUGGGGAGGUGGGAGACCCAGGCUGGCUGACAGAGGCUGCCCAGAGUGACCUCUGGGUCUGUUAGGGUGUAGGUACAGGACCAGGAGCUGCAGACCUUGGGAAGCACUUCCUAAGGUCAGGACCACAAGGAUGUCAGAUCAUCUAGUUAUCGGGCUACUUAUUUAACCCCUCUGUGCCUCAGUUUCUUCAUCUGUAGAAUGGGGAUAAUAAUAGGACCUAUUUUAUAGUGUUGGGGGGGGUUAAAUGAGUUCGUGAUGCAGAGUGCUAGCUACAUACCUGGCCCUAUUACUGAGAACUACCAUCUCUAAUUCAACCUACUGAAAACCCUCUAAGAAAGCCUUCACUACUCUCAGUGUGCUCCCUGCACCAGCGGCAUGGGUGUUUCCCGGGAGCUGGUUAGAAGGGCUGAAUCUCAGGCUCCACCCCCGACCUCCUGAAUGAGGACCGACAUCUCAAUAAGACUCCCACAGUUGGGGUCCAGAGUGCAAAGCAGGAAGAGGCAGAGCAACCGAGAGCAAAGCUAGGCUCCGGAGUCAGGCUUCUAACCCAGCUCUGUGUGUCACAGCUGGGCAACCCUGGGCAAGUUACUUAACGUCUGUGGAUCUCAGUGCACGUAUCUGUGGAAUGGGAUAAUAGCCUUUCAACAAACCCAGAAGGUAGGCGGUGAGACAGAGGAUGGAAAACACUUCAUGGGGCGCCUGACAUCUGGUCAAUGGACUGUGAACUUUGCAACAGCGUUGCUGUCGCUUUUCUUGUAGGAGUGAGGAAACCCUUUCUCCUCAAAGCUCUGUGCCUCUGGGUGUGUCCCUUCUGGGCCACCUGUGGUAGGACCGGUGAAGACAGAGAGGGGUGGGGUUGGGGUCAGCCUGGGGGCUUGGGGCGCCCUUACCUUGGCCCUGGCUUCAUUGAGCUGGUCCUCCAGCUCUGAGAAGCUGAAGCUGGAGACCGUGAUGAAGUCGCUCAUGACCGGGACAAACCUGUCCUUCGGAUCCCACGCCUGGCGUUUCUGAUAUUCCAGCUCCUGAGGAGGGAGAGCCAAGUGCUGGUCAGACCAGUGCCAGGACGAGAGUCAGGAAUGCUGGGACUCACCACAUCUUCCACCCUCCUUGCCAAUCGCAGGACACUGAGCCUGCCUUUGGAAGAGGGAACACCCUGGGUCUCAAAUUCUAAGGGUGGCAAAGAUUGUGAGGUAUCAACCAGUCCCCCCUGCCUCUAUGCUUCCCUCGCCGCCGCUGCCAUAUUUCUUUCUCUAGAUCCUGCUACCCAAAGCGUGGUCUGGGACCAGCAGCGUGAAAUUUUAAGAAGCAGGCUCUCAGGCCCCACUCAGAAUUAGAAUCUGCAUUUUCACAAGAACCUUGGGUGAUCUGUGUGCCGAUUAAAGCGUGAGAUGCAUUUCCAAAUCUCCCAGUUGAUGCGAUGCUGCUGGUUCAUGGACCACAGACCACAUUUUGGAUCCUUCUAGACCGGAAAUGUCAUGCUGCAUAUUGGAAGGUUUCCAACACAUGGCCUCUGGCUUGGAUUUAUUUUUAUUACCAUCAGGUCUGACUUCUCGCCUGUAGCAGAUGCCCCUGGAGCCCGCCACCCCACCCCCGCCAUCUCCUUGGACCUUCCGUUGUAGUGGACAGCCCUGACUUCCAACCACUGAGCACUUUCUCUGCGGGCCAGAGCAUUACUGCCCACCCCCAGCCAGUGAGCGACAGGAGAUGGUAGAUGAUGCCCAUCUUACCCCUUGUGGGGAUAAUGGAGCGAGUGUCCUACACUGUCUCCCACACUCUGCAGAGGCAGGAUUAAGCUCUGAUCGCCUGCAGUGGCGCUCCCACGCUGCCCUUUGUUCAUGAAGUUGCCGAUGGCCAGGACGACCUCUAGCAUCUGCGCUAGACGCUUGCUGCGGAUCAGCUCCCGGGAGGCCAGCAGGAUGGCUGGGGGAGGAGGGACAGGUGAGAGCCCCACAUACACCAGGCCCUUGAACCCUAGGAUGAUACUACCACAAAGUCCAGAAAAGGCGCCGUUAAGUGUCAGCUUCAGAGGGGCAGAGGCUAUGCCCACAGCCCAGCAGACGAUCUUCUCCACAUCUACCUGCCUCCAGGGGAAGCAAACUCGCCAAAAGCCAAUUCACCAAAUAACCCUUUCUCAAAAUGUGCCAACUCUUCCUAAGACUAUAUUGGAGAAUGUAUCAUCUUUCCUUGCAUAUAUUUAGACUCUUAACAUAUUCUUUCUGUGGAUAUAUGCAAGAAUAUAAUACUUUGGGCUUCCCUGGUGGCACAGCGGUUGAGAAUCCACCUGCCA